CCGCUGAACUUAAGCAUAUCAAUAAGCGGAGGAAAAGAAACCAACAGGGAUUGCCCUAGUAACGGCGAGUGAAGCGGCAACAGCUCAAAUUUGAAAUCUGGCCUCGGCCCGAGUUGUAAUUUGCAGAGGAUGUUUCUGGCGCGGUGCCUUCCGAGUUCCCUGGAACGGGACGCCACAGAGGGUGAGAGCCCCGUAUGGUUGGACACCAAGCCUGUGUGAAACUCCUUCGACGAGUCGAGUAGUUUGGGAAUGCUGCUCUAAAUGGGAGGUAAAUCUCUUCUAAAGCUAAAUACCGGCCAGAGACCGAUAGCGCACAAGUAGAGUGAUCGAAAGAUGAAAAGCACCUUGAAAAGGGGGUUAAACAGUACGUGAAAUUGUUGAAAGGGAAGCGCUCAUGACCAGACUUGUGCCGGGCGGUUCAUCCGGGGUUCUCCCCGGUGCACUCCGCCCGGCUCAGGCCAGCAUCGGUUCUCGUUGGGGGAUAAGAACGGUAGGAACGUGGCCCUCCCUCGGGAGGGUGUUAUAGCCUGCCGUACGAUACCCUGAUGGGGACCGAGGUUCGCGCUCCGCAAGGAUGCUGGCGUAAUGGUCAUCAGCGACCCGUCUUGAAACACGGACCAAGGAGUCGUCCAUUAGAGCGAGCGUUUGGGUGUAAAACCCGCACGCGUAAUGAAAGUGAAAUUAGGUGAGAGCUUCGGCGCAUCAUCGACCGAUCCUGAUGUUCUCGGAUGGAUUUGAGUAAGAGUUUUAACGGACGGACCCGAAAGACAGUGAACUAUGCUUGUAUAGGGUGAAGCCAGAGGAAACUCUGGUGGAGGCUCGCAGCGGUUCUGACGUGCAAAUCGAUCGUCAAAUAUGAGCAUGGGGGCGAAAGACUAAUCGAACUGUCUAGUAGCUGGUUACCGC
rnacentral:rRNA from 1 species